rnacentral:lncRNA from 1 species
GCGUUACCAGGUCAGGGUCAUCCCACAUCCACAGCUAACAAUACCAACGUCGAUAUGUGUUCUCGGUCGCUAAGUCGUUCUGGGGGCCCGGGCAUAUUGUCCACGGGAGCCUCCCAGCUACUGUACAGGAUCUUACGUUUCACUCACAGGGAAAUGGAAGCACAAGGCCGUGGAGUGACUUCCCCCAAGGCCCGAGGCCGAGCCCUUCACCCCAGGAGUUGUGGGGAGGCCAGGCCCCAUGGGCUGGACGGUCUGGGAGCAGAAAGAGGGCCGGGGCCUGAACUGAGCCCGCUAGGGACCCCCCCCCCUCCGGGGGACGAGGCAGGCCGGAGAGCCACUGGGCUGUGCGGCCUGGUUAAGGAAGGGGGCUGGAGGGAUGGGCCUUGGGGCCGGGGGCGGGGGGUGUCUGGGGGCUCUGGAGCCCUGAACGCUGAGAAGGGGACUUGAAGCACGAAAGCAGAGGCCUCCCCCAGAGGGGCCCGAAGCCGAGUCAGAGCAGCCCUGGCGUCUGGUGUCAGCAACCUUUUUUCCCACCAGCCAAAGACAGCAGCAUUCCCAAGCGCAAGAGAAAGCGGGUCUCCGAAGGGAACUCCUUCUCCUCCUCCUCCUCGUCUUCCUCCUCCUCGUCCUCUAACCCAGAGUCCGUGGCGUCUACCAACCAGCUCUCACUCGUGGUAAAGUUGCACAGAUCCGGGCCUGACCGCUCUGCUCUUCGGCCCUCGCCCCGCUUUCGGGCAGGGCCGGCUCCUCUGGGACGUGGGUUUGGGGCGCAGGGAAGCACUGGGUCCGAGCGGGGCUCCGCAGCCUCGGGGUGGCAGUCGCGUCUGCCCGAUCGACCCACCAGAUAGUCCAACCCUGUCACUGGCUGCUCCCGCGUCCCUGCCCUGGGUGGGAAGUCACACCCCCCACUGGGCAGGUGGGCAAGCCGAGCCCCCCCCCCCCGCCUCCGCCCCUGGAGAGGGGACGGGGGACUCCCCUGGGCGGUGCUAGAACGGGGACCCCCGUGCGGUCGCCAGGUUAAUCUCUGCUCACAUCGCAUGCUCUGGGCCUCACCACAGCCCCGUGAGGUUGGAGGCGUUACCCACAGCGUGUGGAGGAGGAAAACAAGGGGCAGAGGCUGGUUGACUGUGGCCUUACUGCGGUCAAGCCUCAUUAGGGACACACACACACACACUCGAGAGUUCUUUCUGACUUCAAAACACUAGCUCGGAAGUCCUGAGUCCCAGUGGAGAGAAUACUGGAACACAUUUGGUGAUGACUUGGAGAUGUCUUUGUCCUUUGACCCUGCUUCCCCCCCCCCUUUUUUUAAGUUUAAUUUUUAUUUUGAGAGCACAAAGAGGGGGAGGGAGGGAGAGAAUCCCAAGCAGGUUCCGCACCGAACAGCACAGAGCCUGACACGGGCCUGGAACCCACAAAACUGUGAGAUCACGACCUGAGCCGGAACCAAGAGUCAGACGCUUGACCAACUGAGCCACCCAGGCGCCUAUAAUCGUGCCUCCCUUUAAACCUGGCAAACCCCAAAGUUCAGGCUGUAGGCUGUACCUUUGUCCCCACCUAGGGGUGCCUCCAGAGGGUCACUGGCUUUUCCCACCUCCAAGAGAUGGGACUGGCUCUUUGGCAUAAGGCCGGGGAGGGGGUGGAGUUUGUGGGCGUGCUCCCCUUCUCUGAGCGAAUCCUCGGUUCCCCCUGGUCCACCGAAUAGCCCCUGGCACACGGGUGGGAGCGAGUCAGAAGGCCCCAGCCCAGGCUCCAGGGCCACUGGCAAAAUGCAUGACCUUGGACGGGUCCCGGCUCCCGUCUGGACCGUCAGGCUGCCUCCAAAUGAAUCCAGUGGGGAAUCCCUUCAGAAAGCAGAGCUAAGUGGUCUGGUGUUCUUUCUGGGUCACCCGGAGUCCUAACUCGGGCCAUUUGUCCCCCUCUCUCUAGCAAUGGCCAAUGUACAUGGUGGACUAUGCCGGCCUGAACGUGCAGCUCCCGGGACCUCUGAAUUAUUAGACCUCAGUGCUGAAUCAGGACCUCACUCAGAAAGACUAAAGGAAAUGUAAUUUAUGUACAAAGUGUAUAUUCGGAUAUGUAUCGAUGCCUUUUAGUUUUUCCAAUGAUUUUUACACUAUAUUCCUGCCACCAAGGCCUUUUUAAAUAAGUAAAAAAAAAAAAAGUAUUGCCCUUGCUCAUAACUUCUGCGUAGUCUCAUUUGGAAUUAACAGCUGUCACUGAGGCGAGGUCAGGAAACCUGGCUCAGACAGCC